rnacentral:lncRNA from 1 species
AUGGCGAGCACCAGGCCAGGACGCUUGGCCGAGGUGACUCUGCCCAUUGGCUUCUUCGCUAGCCCGUGUCUGCACGUGUUCCUCGAUCCAACGAGCGUGUACAGCGGGCACGGGAAAGUCGAACGCGCCGACGCUCCUGUGUUCAGCAAUGUUAGCCCUACAGCCCCUAGGCUCACCACUGUCCUCCCAGGUCUAUCAGGUUCUAGACCGAGUGUGCUGAAACCUGCUCUCAGCUUGCCUACUAUCUCGGACGUGGGUAUUGAGUCUCAGACCGGGUCGAUUGGCAGCACGUCGUGUCCUGUGCAUGACUCACAACCCGCUCCUAGCAGUAAGUUUACAAUAAUCUGCGUUCUACACCAUAGUUCUCUCCAAUGAUGCUUAUGUU